GGACUGUAGCUCAGUGGUAGAGCGCUUGCCUAGCAUGUGUGAGGCACUGGGUUCAAUCCUUAGCACCA
rnacentral:tRNA from 1 species